AACUAUGAAAAACACUGGGGUCAGAAACGAGAGGCCACUUUUAUUGUCUUUAUUACUGCAAAUUCAAAUUGGCUCAAAGUGUUUGGUGCUUUACUGGACUAUGGCACACUACCAUGUCCCUAUCAAAAAAACUUUUGGCAUUUUUCAGAGACACGUGACCAAUUUCGAUCAGUCGGGGUCUGAGUGUUCAGUCCCCCACAAGCUCUCUAAAACAAGCUGAGAAUAGUGUGUGGCUAAGCUCUUCACUCCCCAGCUCAGUGCACAGGGUCCUAUCAGUCACAUAGGGAAGUAUAUAAUAGGCCCAGCUAUCAGCAAAAUAGAAAGCUCAUUUAUGAGUGGGUCGCUGGAGGUGUGCAACCCUAAAAUUGUUUGUGUGCCUGCGCACAAUAACUGAGCCAUGUAAUGGAUCUCUAAGCACAAGUACCAAUCAGCACUCGCAUCGGGCACAAGUCUGCCCAUCUAAAGGGACUCUUGUUAGUACUGUCUUGUCUAAGUUUAUACCAGUUAUGAGUUGUUGUACAUUAGGCAAAGCCCCUUUUUCAAUCAGCUACGCCCCCUAUCAAACAAGGCACAUUUUAUAGUUUUUUUGUAUAAAAAAUGGGUCUAAAGUGUCAUGUGCCACAAUUCUGACAGUUGGAUCCAAAAGUAUUGCUGGGGGCAGCCAAAGCAAGUGCACUAAUCCAUGGAGGUAGAUAUCCAAUGCUCCCUAUAGCCACCUCUGACAUUCAUGAACAUACAUGGGAACAAACACUGCUUCGUCUAGCCCAGCUCUCAGGGACAUUAUAUAGAAUGCCACCCCUUUCCUACACCUCCAGUGCCCCCUGCAGGACACGUGGUACAACCUGGUGCAGGAACACAGUGGCGUUGUUACCCAUAGCAACCAGUUGGCGCUUCUCUCCAUCUUGUAAGAACUAAGCCCAUAUGCAGCCCCCUCCCCACUCCCUGUAGCAGAUGGUGGCACCCGGUGCCCUCCUCACCCACAGAGUGCUGAAGUAGUCCAGAGCCCCGCAGAUCACACCGCACACGUUGGCAAGCAGCUCCCGCACCCCGAGCACUCUUCACUUGCAUGAUGCUACCUGGGAAGAAGUUAAUAAUGUGGAGUAAACGUGAUGACGUCUUUCAGCGGCCUGAUUAAGCGCCUAGUGGCGUGAUAUGGUCUGUGGCCCUGCGUCUGAACUCCCCCCAGUUCCACCUGCCGCCUCCCUGCAUAAACCGAUGCGGUCUCCGGAGUAAGAAGUCCAUUCUGCCAGCAUAAGAAUCGGACCCCAGGCAAACAAAUAAUACCAGCUUAGGUGUAAAUCCACUAUCGUCUCAUCUCUGGGAACAUAUACAGGGCGUUUGAAACGACAAGUUACACGGUUGUUUUCAAAUAUGCCUUCCUCAUCUCUGGCUGGAUUCCUCUGGAUCUCUUUAGCCCACUGGCCAACAUUAUAAAAGUGUUGUAUGCGGACCCUUCCAUUAUCAUCAUGGACACAGGCCAUUACAUCAUCGCCUCCCUACAAUAGAAACCUUAAAUUAUUAUAUGUAUUAUUAAUGUGCAGAAUACAUGAAAUGAGCAAAUAAAGUUAAUUCAUUACAAAGUUAUGAAGCCCAAGGUUUAUCAAUCCGAGACAAAAACUGGAGUAAUUUACCCAUAGUAACCAAUCACAGCUCAGCUCUCAUUUUGUGAUUGGUUGCUCGGGCGAAAUUACACCAGUUUUUGUUUCAGAUUGAUAAAUCUGGGUUUAAGCCCUUCUACAUCACAGAGGUUAGGGGUGUGGAAAAUCUUACAGUUCAUUACAAAUGUAGCAGAAGUGCUAUGCUAUCAGUGUAGCACAAAAUAAAAAGUACAUAAUGGAGCAGAGACUCCUGUUUUUUGCCAGACCCCUGCUCCUGUAUUGGAGUGAUUAGCGAUGGGUACAAUGUAUGGGUGUGGCCUAAGGUCUAUGGUGUCUGCCAAACAUUGCACACACACAGAAGAAAAUCCUGCUCCCCUGUUUCUCUAUAGUACACCCUAAGAAGUAUCAGCAGUUUUGAGGACGUUAUUCAGCAGUACUGAGCAAUGCAAGAUGUGGAUCGAGCACUAAUAUGAGAUCUUAUACUUUUAAGCUCAGCUCCUGUAGUGUCUCUGUAGCCUCUCUCUGAUUCUGGCUUUCUACAGCUACACCCUCCCUCCUCUCUCUCUUCAUCCCGCUUUCUUUUCACAGACUUGAAUAGGCAGCAUUUAAUCUAAUCCCUCAGUGAGUUUGUGUCCUCUCACAGAACAGACGUGUGCUGUUUUUUAGUGUAAACUACAUGAGUAGUUUUCCUUUGAAAACAAUGAAACACACCAAAAUGAACAUGUCUUCUGGUUUAUGCUGCCCAAACCACUGGAGCGGGAUCCCAGAAUACUAUGGGGGAGAUUUAGCAAAACCUGUUUAAAGGAAAAGUUGCCCAGUUGCCCAUAGCAACCAAUCAGAUUCUUUCAUUUUGCAGAGGCCUUUUUAAAAAUGAAAGAAGUGAGCUGCAUUUUUUCCUCUGGACAGGUUUUGAUAAAUUUCCUCCUAUGUUUUUAUUCUGAAACGCGUGGCCAUUUCAGAGAAAGCACUGUUUGAAAAGUAAAUCACAUUAGGCUGCUCCCUGACCUGCCAGCCCUACAGAGAAGAAGUAAAGUUAGAGUGAUCUGACUAGAUACUAUGAGCAACCAUGGUAGGUGGUAAAUUGCACCCAUAUUCUGCAUUUUGUUAUACAGUAGCUUUUUAGCCAU